rnacentral:rRNA from 1 species
AAAUGACUCUCGGCAACGGAUAUCUCGGCUCUCGCAUCGAUGAAGAACGUAGCGAAAUGCGAUACUUGGUGUGAAUUGCAGAAUCCCGUGAACCAUCGAGUUUUUGAACGCAAGUUGCGCCCGAAGCCAUCUGGCCAGGGCACGUCUGCCUGGGCGUCACGC